GGGGCGGUAGCUCAGCUGGUCAGAGCAGGGAACUCAUAAUUCCUCGGUCACGGGUUCAAGUCCCGUCCGCCCUACGA
rnacentral:tRNA from 2 species